UGGGGAAUUUUGGACAAUGGGGGCAACCCUGAUCCAGCAAUGCCGCGUGUGUGAAGAAGGCCUUCGGGUUGUAAAGCACUUUUGUCCGGAAAGAAAACUUCGGGGCUAAUACCCCUGGAGGAUGACGGUACCGGAAGAAUAAGCACCGGCUAACUACGUGCCAGCAGCCGCGGUAAUACGUAGGGUGCGAGCGUUAAUCGGAAUUACUGGGCGUAAAGCGUGCGCAGGCGGUGCUGUAAGACCGAUGUGAAAUCCCCGGGCUUAACCUGGGAACUGCAUUGGUGACUGCAGCGCUGGAGUAUGUCAGAGGGGGGUGGAAUUCCACGUGUAGCAGUGAAACGCGUAGGGAUGUGGAGGAACACCGAUGGCGAAGGCAGCCCCCUGGGCCAAUACUGACGCUCAUGCACGAAAGCGUGGGGAGCAAACAGG
rnacentral:rRNA from 1 species